rnacentral:rRNA from 1 species
AAACUUUCAACAACGGAUCUCUUGGUUCUGGCAUCGAUGAAGAACGCAGCGAAAUGCGAUAAGUAGUGUGAAUUGCAGAAUUCAGUGAAUCAUCGAAUCUUUGAACGCACAUUGCGCCCUUGGUAUCC